rnacentral:rRNA from 1 species
GGCGAAGCCUGACGGAGCAACGCCGCGUGAGAGAAGAAGGCCUUCGGGUUGUAAAUCUCUGUCUUUGGGGAAGAAAGAAAUGACGGUACCCGAGGAGGAAGCCCCGGCUAACUACGUGCCAGCAGCCGCGGUAAAACGUAGGGGGCGAGCGUUGUCCGGAAUUACUGGGCGUAAAGGGCGCGCAGGCGGUCACUUAAGACAGAGGUGAAAACUAUCGGCUCAACCGGUAGCCUGCCUAUGAGACUGAGUGACUUGAGAGCAGGAGAGGGGAGUGGAAUUCCCAGUGUAGCGGUGAAAUGCGUAGAUAUUGGGAGGAACACCAGUGGCGAAGGCGGCUCUCUGGCCUGUUACUGACGCUGAGGCGCGAAAGCGUGGGGAUCAAACAGGAUUAGAUACCCUGGUAGUCCACGCUGUAAACGAUGGGUGCUAGGUGUAGGAGGUAUCGACCCCUUCUGUGCCGUAGUUAACACAAUAAGCACCCCGCCUGGGGAGUACGGCCGCAAGGUUGAAACUCAAAGGAAUGGACGGA